rnacentral:lncRNA from 1 species
GAGAAGGGAGAAGCAGAGGAAGGAAGUGGAGGUUCCUCUCGCGAUAUUUCAGUGGCGCCGGUCCCACCGUGUGAUUUCCGCCUCUCUAUAGUGCUUCCUCUUGGGAUCAGCGAGCUGUGUGGCACCUGUACGGCUGCUGCUGCUGAGUGGCCUGCUGGUGGUGCUAGGUUGCGUCCUACUAAUCCACCCCUCCCCUCCCGCGCGAGGGGGCAACCCCAGCCUCACCGGGAACAUCGAGGCCAAGUCAACCGAGAGUUACACACAAAGUCUUCCCCUCUCUUUCCACUCCACCCAAUUCUCUCUUCCUUUUUCCACUCCCCGAUUCGUCCCCGCCGGAAACGCCGCCCCUUGGUCCUACAGUUCCGCCCGAUGGUCCCUCGACUCCAGUCUUCCCUCGCGCAGAGUGACGCAAAGGACUCCCUUCUCUUCUCCGGGGCCCCUCCCCCUGCACGCCGAGAGACUGUUGAAGGGGAUGGGGCGGAGCCCAGGGAGAAAGAGAAAGGGACCAGCACUGGGAGCAUAGGCCAGCUCCACUCCGAGCCAAUGAGGGCAUGGAGGAACAGCCAGCCAGGGUUGUGAUGCAAGAUUUUUAUUAUAUUUUUCAAUAUCUCCCACCAACCAAAAAGAUAUUCCCUAAUAUUACCUUGGAAGCCAGUUUCAUAAAUAUGGAAUUGUUUUACCCUGA